rnacentral:rRNA from 1 species
CUGGCGGUAUGCUUACACAUGCAAGUCGAACGGUCUUUUAGGAGACAGUGGCGGACGGGUGAGUAACGCGUAAGAAUCUACCUUCAGGUUGGGGACAACCACUGGAAACGGUGGCUAAUACCGAAUGUGCCGAGAGGUGAAAGGCUUGCUGCCUGAAGAAGAGCUUGCGUCUGAUUAGCUAGUUGGUAGUGUAAGAGACUACCAAGGCGACGAUCAGUAGCUGGUCUGAGAGGAUGAUCAGCCACACUGGGACUGAGACACGGCCCAGACUCCUACGGGAGGCAGCAGUGGGGAAUUUUCCGCAAUGGGCGAAAGCCUGACGGAGCAAUACCGCGUGAGGGAGGAAGGCUCUUGGGUUGUAAACCUCUUUUCUCAGGGAAGAACAGAAUGACGGUACCUGAGGAAUAAGCAUCGGCUAACUCCGUGCCAGCAGCCGCGGUAAUACGGAGGAUGCAAGCGUUAUCCGGAAUGAUUGGGCGUAAAGGGUCCGCAGGUGGCAUUGUAAGUCUGCUGUUAAAGAGUUUGGCUCAACCAAAUAAGAGCAGUGGAAACUACAAAGCUAGAGUGUGGUCGGGGCAGAGGGAAUUCCUGGUGUAGCGGUGAAAUGCGUAGAUAUCAGGAAGAACACCAGUGGCGAAGGCGCUCUGCUAGGCCGAGACUGACACUGAGGGACGAAAGCUAGGGGAGCGAAUGGGAUUAGAUGCCCCAGUAGUCCUAGCCGUAAACGAUGGAUACUAGGCGUAGCUCGUAUCGACCCGAGCUGUGCCGGAGCUAACGCGUUAAGUAUCCCGCCUGGGGAGUACGCA